GUUUCACCGUUUCACUCCUAAGUUGCCUCAUCAAAUCAAAUCAAAGGAUAAUAAAAACCCUAAGUUCACUCCAUCGACGCAGAACGACCAUCGCAGAACGCCAGUCCUACUCCGUCGCCGUCGCUGUCGCAGCAGAGCUCCGUUGCCAUCCGUGACUGCCUCAUCCGUCUGGUAAUUCAUCUCAGAGAGUUGAUUUCUGAUUAAGGGUAAAAAGAAAGAAAAGCUAAGGUGCUAUGGAGGAGCUGAGGAAUUGAAGCCGACUGUCCCAAAUUAAAGCCUCUAAAGGAAGGACAAUUAGGUCAUUGUCCAUCGUAUUAUGAACUGUUCAGGUAUACACAUACCAAACAACACGAUGGGCAAACAUUCAUAGUUGAAAAAGCCAAACAAAUUCAUGAACAAGUUGAAUCGCAACGGGAGAUGUUGCAAGAAAAUGGGGAGCAGGUGGAUGACAAUCAAUUAUACUAUGACGCGGUUGGUGGACACGAUAAGAAAAGAAGAGUUUAUGGACUUGGUUCAUAUGGUUGUUCUGUUGUUCAUGGUCCAACUAAUGAUAACACUUCUGGCAAUAUGACACCAACAUCGCGACCACCCGACAAUGCUACUUCUACUUCUGCAAAUGUACAACAUGAAAUUCAGAGUUUGAAGGAAACUAUUCUCCAUAUGCAACAACGACUUGAUGCUAUUGAUGGCGGGAGAGCGGGUACUUCAUCAUCACCUCCAUCUCAAAUCAAUUGAUUUUAAUGGUUGUUUGUUAAUGUUGUUUAGACUUGAAUUGACUAUUAUAUUAUGUAUUAAGUGUGGAUUGAUAAUGUAUUAUUAUGUUGUUUAGACUUGAAUUGACUAUUAUAUUAUGUAUUAAGUGUGGAUUGAUAAUGUAUUAUUAUGUUGUUUAGAGUUUAAUUGACGAUUAUAUUAUGUAUGAAA